CAGCCGCCGCGGUAAUACGUAGGGUGCGAGCGUUAAUCGGAAUUACUGGGCGUAAAGCGUGCGCAGGCGGUUGUGUAAGACAGGUGUGAAAUCCCCGGGCUUAACCUGGGAACUGCGCUUGUGACUGCGCAGCUAGAGUAUGGCAGAGGGGGGUGGAAUUCCACGUGUAGCAGUGAAAUGCGUAGAGAUGUGGAGGAACACCGAUGGCGAAGGCAGCCCCCUGGGCCAAUACUGACGCUCAUGCACGAAAGCGUGGGGAGCAAACAGGAUUAGAUACCCCUGUAGUCCCUGUCUCUUAUAC
rnacentral:rRNA from 1 species